CUUCAUCCACGGUGUUGUUACUGUAGGCAGCUGGUGGGAGAGAGAGACGAGAGUCAAACACAAAAAGAUUCCCAACCCAGUCAGAUGUGCCUUCUUCCUCAAGAUAAUGGGAAACUCCACCCUUGAGUGUAUACAGGUUCUUGAAACCCCGCUGUCUGAAAAGAAAUUUGACUUCUCACAAGAAAGUUAUUUGGGAAAAACAUUUGUUUUUGGGAGGAGAUGGUAGUAUGAGAAUGGAGUAGAGAAGCCAUAGUGGUACCUCAGAAUUGUUGAAUAUACAUCGCAACGUAUACCUCCAGUGCAGUACAUCAGUAUAUCUGUUUUUUCCUUGUCAACAUUAAUCAAAGGGUCUGAAGGAGCUUCCUAUAGUGUCAAAAUCUCUAGUGUUAGAUAUAUUAACCUCUAAUACGUUACAAUAUGUAACCUACAGAUAAGACUUGUCUGAUCACUUUCUCUUAAUCUACAGAUUGUAAAUAAGAACUUUUCAGCUUAGGAUUAAUUUUUACCUUUUCAUCAGAUAGCCCAAAAGAAGUGUUCCGAAAGCAAUCAACUUCAGGUCUACGUGCCCCACGAAAAUGACCAACAUCCCAUUCAUAACCUGCUCAAAUUAAACACCAGCCACCAGUAGGUUUAACUAGAGCAAUAUGUGGUGCACUGUACGAAUCACAGACUAUCAUAAGUGAUCAGACGUAGUUACUAGAUAAUAAGAGGAAUCAAGACUGUUCUGUUACUGUAUACAAAUGGAAAUACCGUUUCUGACAUCCAAUAAUAUGCAGCUUCUGCCACUAUCUGAAGGUGAUGCUUCACCGUCAUCCGUUAAGUCUUUUAGCUUCUCUUUCCAUUCAGAUGGUUCUAAGGGUUUUGCUCGCAUCGGUGGAUCAAGUAAGGGAAGGUGUGAAAUUCCUCCCUCAUACUAUAGAACAACAAAAAACCAACCAAUGUUGAGUAAUCUUACAAUAUAUCACAAGGCAAUGCACUAUCACGCAUGUGAAGUAAGAAUCUUGAAUCCAACAGAACAAAAAGUGGCGUUGAAUGGAUGUAUCUUACCUGCACUAAGGAAGGUUUGUUCUGCAGCUUCAACUUAGGGAAUGCAUGCCUACCGAUAGCAGGAGACAUCUGAACAAGUAUAUCGGAGAACCUCUCAUCUUCUUUCAACCAUUCAACAUAUGCAAGAGCGUCUUUAGAUGGUCCACUGUACUGCAGAAAACAAGAAUUACACAAAUAAACACACAAGACUUUGUCCUAGCUUAGUAUAGUCAAAUUAUAUACUUCAAAGCUACACAUGUGAAUGAAAAAGGAUAACGAUACCUGUGCGUUGAUUCCUUGUUCAUUUAGAUAUAUCCGACCACGUAUAUUCAAAUCCUGGAAAGGUGUCAUAACCAAAAAAAAAAAAAAAAAAAGCUUUCAAUUAUAUAAACCAAAGAGAAUGCUUUCAGUUCACGACCGUUUCAGUGAAAAAAAGACCGAACUAGUCCAAACUAAACGGACCUGUAAGAAAGAGAGGUGCUUUUCAAUCUCAGCGGCGGGAUCUUGGAUUGAUACAAAGCGAUAGAAGUUCCUGUAGGCAGCUGGUGGGAGAGAGAGACGAGAGUCAAACACAAAAAGAUUCCCAACCCAGUCAGAUGUGCCUUCUUCCUCAAGAUAAUGGGAAACUCCACCCUUGAGUGUAUACAGGUUCUUGAAACCCCGCUGUCUGAAAAGAAAUUUGACUUCUCACAAGAAAGUUAUUUGGGAAAAACAUUUGUUUUUGGGAGGAGAUGGUAGUAUGAGAAUGGAGUAGAGAAGCCAUAGUGGUACCUCAGAAUUGUUGAAUAUACA
rnacentral:lncRNA from 1 species